rnacentral:rRNA from 1 species
ACUCCUACGGGAUGCAGCAGUGGGGAAGUAUUCACAAUGGGAAACCGGUAGCAUGCAGCCAUGCCGCGUGUGUGAAGAAGGCCUUCGGGUUGUAAAGCACUUUCAGUAGGGAGGAAGGUAGUGUAGUUAACACCUGCACUAUUUUGACGUUACCUACAGAAGAAGCACCGGCUAACUCCGUGCCAGCAGCCGCGGUAAUACGGAGGGUGCGAGCGUUAAUCGGAAUUACUGGGCGUAAAGCGC